ensembl:lncRNA LINC01102 long intergenic non-protein coding RNA 1102
AUCUCCUAAAGCAGUCAUUCUGAAACCCAAUCUGGGGACAGUGCAGACUAAAUAAAAUUUCAUUUUGAUUUGGCCUCCCGCUGCGAAUGGGACUGCUUUGUCUCAGCCGACAGAACCAGCAAGCCAGAAAGGGAAUGAAGACAUUUGGAGAAGAAGCGUUUACUGAAAGGAGAUUCCUGGGCUGGAGGAAAACCAUGAUCUACAGUUCAUGUUGACAGAUAUUGUAUUUUUGGUCCUAGAUCUGACUUUUGAAAUGACUUAUCACAAAUUCAAAUUUAGCAAUCAUGAGUGAAGUACCCACGAUGUGCUAAGCAUCUACCUCUGCAGAUAGAAGAACACUUACUGUUCCUGAGCAUGGGAGGGAAUAGAAGUUCCUGGGUCCUGGCCUCACCUCAUCAGGCACUGCCAAAUUUGACACCUCCUUCCUGUUCACGGCAGUCCUUUGCGAUAGGGUAUUAGAUGCCACCAAGUAGCUGCAUAACUCACCCAUUUGGUCAGAGCCUGGGUCUAAGCCAGGUCUGACAGACUCCAAAGCAAGCCCUGUUUACAGCAUGACUGGGAUCCAGUGGACGAGGGAACUGAGCUGUCAAAACUAAGUGACUUGAUUGAGGCCAUGCAGCUGGCGAGGGGAGGACCAGGAUCUGAACCCAACUGGGUCUCCCAAGCCUGGGCCACUGAACCAUUUCACCUCUUGGAAAAACUUAAUGGUCAGAGUGGCCCACCCAGUCCAUGGACAGCAUGGAGCCCUCUGACCAAGAAUCUGCGGAGGUCAUCCCUCACCUCCAGAGUUGGUCUUGUCCCUAGCACCCACGUGUGCUCUGUGGCUCAGAAUGGUCUACAGGAUCUUCCAAAUCCAAGCACAGGUGGUAUGGUGGAAGAGGAGGGAAGAAAACCUGUGUAUUGUAAGUCAUAUUCUUCUAUGGUGUGAAGGUUAACGUAAGUUUUAAGAAAGUUUUUUUUUUUAAUUUUAUUAUAUGAUCUUGCUCUAAAGGGAUGUAAAUUCAGAUGCUGAAUUGCACACAUCCUUUCUCUUUCAUAUUUUCAAUAUUGAACGUAAUUUCAAUAUUUAACAUAAAACAAUGAGUACAUUGUCUCCACCUCAUUGUUUUUGGGUGGUGUUUGUGAGGAGCCUGCGUUCUUUGGAAGGAAGACCUUUCAGAUGACCUGACCAGUCCUCCUCUUCAGAACCCGGAUGCUGGCGAAGCAGUUUGAAUUUUAUGCUUGUGAAAGGGCUCCGUUGAUGAUUUUGAUGUCUGCAGCUUUCCACCCGUAUGACCAGACACAUUCUCACCAGCUCCAUAUAUCAAGAUAAGGAGGGGAAACCUGGUAGCUUUUCCUUCUGUUAACUGCUGGCAUCAGCUGAGUGAUGCAGACAUUUCUCUAUUAAGAACUGAGCUGAGACUGAAGCUUCAUUUUGUAUGAGACUGUGCAGAGGUCGUCUAAAGUCUCUCCCAGGUGUGGUUAUUAAGAUCCUGGAUUUGAAACUGUGACCUACUGGUUUGCCAGAUGCCAAGAACAAAUGCUCUGAAAUUGAUUUGCCAAAAGACAUGAUGAGCUGCUCUAACUUGCCUGGGAAGAGUGGAAUAUUUAACCUGUGGGUGAGACUCCCUCUUGCUACCUAUCAGCUUUGCCACUGCUCUGAUAGAGAAACAUCUUGGGAGCAGAGUUGGUAAGAGUGAAUCAGACGUAUCUGCCGGAAUAGGACUCGUGGCACCUGCUUGUUCGAUCCCUCAUUUCCACCCCCUCUAUCCUUUGCCUAUUGUCAGUCAUUGUGGUUGGUCCAUUCAGAAGAAUCGUGAAUAUUCAUAGCCACCCUAAUUUACCAAUAUAUAUUCAAUAAUGUCAGAGAUCUGUACAUGUGAUUCCUGAGCUUAUUACAGUAACAAGUUUCUCCAAUGC